rnacentral:rRNA from 1 species
AACUACAGCCAUGCCACCUGGAACAAGCCCAAUCCCCUCUGAUCUCGGAAGCUAAGUAGGGUUGGACUUGGUUAGUACUUGGAUGGGAAACCACCUAGGAAGACCAGGUGCUGUAGGUG